CUUUCCUACACCAAAUUAAUCAAUAAAUACAAAAAUAAUAUAAUAAAGUAAAUUAAACAUAAAGAAAAGGAAUAGAUAAGUUUAGAACAAGAUAGGAUCGGAUUUUUUUUAAACUGCAGCAAUUAAUGCUGAAUUAAAUGAGAUGUCAGACUUGUUUUAAUCUUGUUGUAAUCACGUACAUAUACCAAACUACCAUCAUUUUCACAACCCCACCUCCUACCAAACAACACUUCUCCAAAAUACUUCCAACAAAAGCAGAAAAAGAAAGAGGGCGUGAGCAUACACAUCCAUCGCAGUAGAAAGUAGCAGUAAAGCCUUUUCCUCUCUAUAAAAAAAAGGGUUAUCUCCGCAAGUAAGGUCGAAGUAAGAAAUUCAAGUUAAAGGAACUAAACGAACAAGGUUAAGCAGCGAAGUGGUGGAGGAAGUGCUAUUAAGACAAGACAUUUAAUUCAGUCAGAUUU